CCUUCGGGGAGCCUAUACAGGUGUUGCAUGGCUGUCGUCAGCUCGUGUCGUGAGAUGUUCGGUUAAGUCCGCUAACGAGCGCAACCCUCGUCGUAUGUUAUAUGUGUCAUACGAGACUGCCGGUAAAAAGCCGGAGGAAGGUGAGGAUGAUGUCAAGUCAGCAUGACCUUUAUAUCCAGGGCUACACACACGCUACAAUGGUCUGUACAAUGGGUAGCCAAGCCGCGAGGCGGAGCCAAUCCUGAAAGCAGGCCUCAGUUCAGAUUGCAGUCUGCAACUCGACUGCAUGAAGCCGGAGUUGCUAGUAACCGCAGGUCAGCAAUACUGCGGUGAAUACGUUCCCGGGUCUU
rnacentral:rRNA from 1 species